ACGGAAUAGAUACCCCGGGUAGUCCACGCCGUAAAACGAUGAUGACUAGCUGUCGGGGCUCUUGGAGUUUCGGUGGCGCAGCUAAACGCCUUAAAGUCAUCCGCCUGGGGAGUACGGCCGCAAGGUUAAAAACUCAAAGAAUUGACGGGGGCCCUGCACAAGCGGUGGAGCAUGUGGUUUAAAAUUCGAAGCAACGCGCAGAACCUUACCAGCGUUUGACAUGGUAGGACGGUUUCCAGAGAUGGAUUCCUUCCCUUACGGGACUACACACAGGUGCUGCAUGGCUGUCGUCAGCUCGUGUCGUGAGAUGUGGGUUAAGUCCCGCAACGAGCGCAACCCUGUCUUUAGUUGCUA
rnacentral:rRNA from 1 species